UCUUGCUAGUUUACUCAGUCUGUUCUUCGACCAAUAUCCUAGUGGGAGGCUGGGAAACUUGACCCACAAGGGAAUUUAUCUUAAAAACUCAGGGUUGUAUUCAAAAUCCAAGGACCAAUUCCUCAAUAUCAUUGGCCUAUUCCUGUACAUAUAUGGUCUUGAUUGCAUCACUAGGUCUCUAUCUGCUGUAGAAGCAAAUUUAAACACAUAAUAGUCGUGACACCAGACAUUUGGUUUAGAGACAAAAUUCUAUACAUGAGCUAUAUAGUUUUCCAUUGUUUUGAAGUAUGGGGAAUCUCCCAGCACAUAUCCAAUCAAAGCAGUGCUCCAGUAAUUCAGUUGCUAGUAGAUAUCUUUAUCCUUAAUUUCCACUACUAUCUUCUCUCUCUUUACCGAUGGGACGAUGUAAGUGAGUAGUUGUCCUAUUUGGAAGCUAAUAUUUUGGGCUUCCACCUGCUCCAUCACCAUCUCUACCUUCUUCUCCUAUUUCCUAAUUUGUUCCUCUUGAGUCGAUAUGCCAGCUCCUCCCGGUGUGGUAUGAGUUGAAGAACCAGCUCAGAGAAUUAAAGUCACCAAGGAAACUGUGAAUCCUCCGGUCUGCUAUAAAUUCUCUUCCCAUCUGGGUCUAGAUGUAGCUCCAUGACUGCCUCUAAUUCUUUUUCCUCACAGAUAGAUUAGAUUGAGUGAGGUAAGAAGUUACCAAAUGUUAAUGGCGCUAGUUUCUGUUGUAUUCUUCUUGCUGGAGUAAUAAUUUCCAUCGGCUAUGGUGCCGUAGUCAGUCGUGUGGGCAUUCCAUAUUAUACGCAUAUGUUAGCUACCAUGCUAUCAUGCGCCCAGAGCAUCAUACCGGCCCAGGCAUUUUUAAAGGUGGGUCAAUUCAACGAUCACUAUUUCAGUUCUCAAGAUUCAUACUUGUGAAAAUCUUCACAAAGAACUCUUUGAGGCAAAGUGUUCUAGUGCUAUCACACCUCUGCUUGAGUACCAAACCAAAAAAAAAUUAUUAAUCAAAUACACUGCUAACUACUAACUCUAAUAAAG
rnacentral:lncRNA from 1 species